CCUACGGGUGGCAGCAGUGGGGAAUAUUGCACAAUGGGCGAAAGCCUGAUGCAGCAACGCCGCGUGAGCGAUGAAGGCUUUCGGGUCGUAAAGCUCUGUCCUCAAGGAAGAUAAUGAUGGCACUAGCUGAGGAAGCCUCGGCUAACUACGUGCCAGCAGCCGCGGUAAUACGAGGGGGGCUAGCGUUAUCCGGAAUUACUGGGCGUAAAGGGUGCGUAGGUGGUUUCUUUGGUCAGAGGUGAAGGGCUACGGCUCAACCGUAGUAAGCCUUGGAAAGUGGGAAGCUGGAGUGCAGGAGAGGUGAGUGGAAUUCCUAGUGUAGCGGUGAAAUGCGUAGAUAUUAGGAGGAACACCAGUGGCGAAGGCGGCUCUCUGGACUGUAACUGACGCUGAGGCACGAAAGCGUGGGGAGCAAACAGGAUUAGAUACCCUAGUAGUC
rnacentral:rRNA from 1 species